UCGGUUUCCUCCAAGAUUUAACAGAUAUGAACGUUCUAGAAUUUGGCCUCCGGUCUCCUUUGCCAAACAAAAGGCAACAAGCUGCAUCAUAUCGGACACCAGCGCCUUCUCCCUUGCUGUCCUCCUUUGCCAGAGGUGAGACAAGCUGAGCGUCAUCGCCAGAAAGAAGGCAGCUGACAGUUCACUUCCAAUGUGACUCUUUUCUCCAGAUGAUACUUCCGUGUGACCCAAGGCAGUGAGGUCCCCAGAAACCCAGAGUGAAUUCUGUGUUAUCUGAUAGAACGUCUUACACUUGGACUCAGAGACUCAGUAUAUUCAAACAUGAGGAAUUGGAAACAAAAGAUAAUCAGGAGAAAAUGUAGUUUGGAUUAUUUUAUUCUACUCAGACCCAUAAAGUAGAGACGUGCAAGAAAUAUCAGUUGAACACAGGAAACAAAGAAGAGGGAAGGAUGCAAGUGGUUAAUAGUGACCUGACCGGUGACUCUGACUCCUUAGCUUCAAUGGAUAGCACCGUGCUGGCCACCAGCAGGGCGGCCAGGAAACAGCGUCCCAGGCUGUGGCUCAGGAAGGGGCUGUUGCAGGUGGGACCUCGCUCCGGUCCGUGUGCUCUGUCAGCUGUCCCACUGCCCACUCAACUCCAUCCCCACCUAGUCUGGAGACCUCCCAGCCCAGGAGAACACCGUGCGGAUCGUGUCCUGCUGGACGGACUGAUCCUCUCCUCCCACUCCCCUCUGGCCUCUCACAGAAGCUGGGAUCCAGCUGAACCAGUGCUCCCAGCCCCUCUCGGCCACCUUAACUGCACAUGUAAUUCAAACGUUCACUUCUGGUCUUCACACAGGCUCAGCCUGCACACAUCUCCUUCUUCUAUUAAAAGUCUUUCCCUACACCUGGCUGCUGAAGCAAGAA